GAUGAGAACGCAGCGAAAUGCGAUACGUAAUGUGAAUUGCAGAAUUCAGUGAAUCAUCGAGUCUUUGAACGCACAUUGCGCCCCCUGGUAUUCCGGGGGGCAUGUCUGUCCGAGCGUCAUUGCUGCCCUCAAGCACGGCUUGUGUGUUGGGCCCCCGCCCCCCGGUUCCCGGGGGGCGGGCCCGAAAGGCAGCGGCGGCACCGCGUCCGGUCCUCGAGCGUAUGGGGCUUCGUCACCCGCUCCGUAGGCCCGGCCGGCGCCCGCCGGCGACCCCCCCUCAAUCUUUCCAGGUUGACCUCGGAUCAGGUAGGGAUACCCGCUGAACUUAAGCAUAUCAAUAAGCGGAGGA
rnacentral:misc_RNA from 1 species